rnacentral:rRNA from 1 species
AUUGAACGCUGGCGGCAGGCCUAACACAUGCAAGUCGAACGGUAACAGGAAGCAGCUUGCUGCUUUGCUGACGAGUGGCGGACGGGUGAGUCAUGUCUGGGAAACUACCCGAUGGGGGGGGAUAACUACUGGAAACGGUAGCUACUACCGCAUAACGUCGCAAGCCCAAAGAGGGGGACCUUAGGGCCUCUUGCCAUCGGAGGUGCCCAGAUGGUAUUAGCUAGUAGGUGGGGUAACGGCUCACCUAGGCGACGAUCCCUAGCUGGUCUGAGAGGAUGACGCGCCACACUGGAACUGAGCCACGGUCCAUACUCCUACGGGAGGCAGCAGUGGGGAAUAUUGCACAAUGGGCGCAAGCCUGAUGCAGCCAUGCCGCGUGUAUGAAGAAGGCCUUCGGGUUGUAAAGUACUUUCAGCGGGGAGAAAGGGAGUAAAGUUAAUACCUUUGCUCAUUGACGUUACCCGCAGAAGAAGCACCGGCUAACUCCGUG